UGAACGCUGGCGGCAUGCCUUACACAUGCAAGUCGAACGGCAGCACGGGUGCUUGCACCUGGUGGCGAGUGGCGAACGGGUGAGUAAUACAUCGGAACAUGUCCUGUAGUGGGGGAUAGCCCGGCGAAAGCCGGAUUAAUACCGCAUACGAUCUACGGAUGAAAGCGGGGGACCUUCGGGCCUCGCGCUAUAGGGUUGGCCGAUGGCUGAUUAGCUAGUUGGUGGGGUAAAGGCCUACCAAGGCGACGAUCAGUAGCUGGUCUGAGAGGACGACCAGCCACACUGGGACUGAGACACGGCCCAGACUCCUACGGGGGGCAGCAGUGGGGAAUUUUGGACAAUGGGCGAAAGCCUGAUCCAGCAAUGCCGCGUGUGUGAAGAAGGCCUUCGGGUUGUAAAGCACUUUUGUCCGGAAAGAAAUCCUUGGCUCUAAUACAGUCGGGGGAUGACGGUACCGGAAGAAUAAGCACCGGCUAACUACGUGCCAGCAGCCGCGGUAAUACGUAGGGUGCGAGCGUUAAUCGGAAUUACUGGGCGUAAAGCGUGCGCAGGCGGUUUGCUAAGACCGAUGUGAAAUCCCCGGGCUCAACCUGGGAACUGCAUUGGUGACUGGCAGGCUAGAGUAUGGCAGAGGGGGGUAGAAUUCCACGUGUAGCAGUGAAAUGCGUAGAGAUGUGGAGGAAUACCGAUGGCGAAGGCAGCCCCCUGGGCCAAUACUGACGCUCAUGCACGAAAGCGUGGGGAGCAAACAGGAUUAGAUACCCUGAUAGUCCACGCCCUAAACGAUGUCAACUAGUUGUUGGGGAUUCAUUUCCUUAGUAACGUAGCUAACGCGUGAAGUUGACCGCCUGGGGAGUACGGUCGCAAGAUUAAAACUCAAAGGAAUUGACGGGGACCCGCACAAGCGGUGGAUGAUGUGGAUUAAUUCGAUGCAACGCGAAAAACCUUACCUACCCUUGACAUGGUCGGAAUCCCGCUGAGAGGUGGGAGUGCUCGAAAGAGAACCGGCGCACAGGUGCUGCAUGGCUGUCGUCAGCUCGUGUCGUGAGAUGUUGGGUUAAGUCCCGCAACGAGCGCAACCCUUGUCCUUAGUUGCUACGCAAGAGCACUCUAAGGAGACUGCCGGUGACAAACCGGAGGAAGGUGGGGAUGACGUCAAGUCCUCAUGGCCCUUAUGGGUAGGGCUUCACACGUCAUACAAUGGUCGGAACAGAGGGUUGCCAACCCGCGAGGGGGAGCUAAUCCCAGAAAACCGAUCGUAGUCCGGAUUGCACUCUGCAACUCGAGUGCAUGAAGCUGGAAUCGCUAGUAAUCGCGGAUCAGCAUGCCGCGGUGAAUACGUUCCCGGGUCUUGUACACACCGC
rnacentral:rRNA from 1 species